rnacentral:rRNA from 1 species
UCCCUACGGGAGGCAGCAGUGGGGAAUAUUGCACAAUGGGGGGAACCCUGAUGCAGCGACGCCGCGUGGGCGAAGAAGUCAUUCGUGACGUAAAGCCCUAUCAGCAGGGAAGAAAAUGACGGUACCUGACUAAGAAGCCCCGGCUAACUACGUGCCAGCAGCCGCGGUAAUACGUAGGGGGCAAGCGUUAUCCGGAUUUAUUGGGUGUAAAGGGCGUGUAGGCGGGAAUGCAAGUCAGAUGUGAAAACUCAGGGCUCAACCCUGAGCCUGCAUUUGAAACUGUAUUUCUUGUGU